UACAGGCUGUGGUCCAGCUAAUCCAACAGUGGCUGUCUAUGAGUGGAAGUUCCAAGAAUCCAGGAGUUGCUCGGUUCACAAGUUGGAUGUCUCCGCUGUUCUUCGGUAUAUGCAGGAUUCCAGAAGAAGAUGAACCACCAGGUGGAGUCCUUGGACUAAAGAGCUGAUUUUUAAGACCUUGAAGUAGAUCUGGGGAGCUCUGAGAGGAGGAGGAAAUGAACGUUAUCAAAGAACUGCGCUUUGUGUCACUGGAUGUUCCCAGCUAAUGAAAGCUGGCAAAGCUGUCCCGAAGCCAGCUGGAGGUCCAGGGGGGGCCUCCAUCCUGGUGCAGGAGGAAAAAGCUUCCAGCCUUCUCCUACUCUACAAUGACUUCUCUCCAUCGCUUUCCUGAAACCUGAGUCAAAAACACCCCAUUCCCCCGGAGCACUGGAGUAUCGAGCGACUGCCCCUGUGCCAAGCUAGUUCCAGCUUACUGGCUUGAGUCCGCAAAGGGUCUACAUUUGUGUGUGAGGAGGGUAAUGGCCACAAGGCUAACCCAGUCCUAGCUCUGCUCUGGUUUCUUCUUUACCUAAAACUCCCCUGCUUUACAUGAACUUGAGACAAGAGUCCCUCCUGGCAGCUGGCAGCCUGCUACACGUGGCUUCCUUUCUCACCUCAUCAGUGCCUGCAUAUCUUUCCCUUAGCCAGGCAGCCCACAACGCAGCCUGGCGGACACAAACUGAGCUAUACCACUCAGGAUCUGGCUCCACCGCUUCCCAGCUGUGCAACCCCAAGCAAGCCAGCAGCACCCCCCCACCCCCCCCACCCCUCCCCGCUUCCUCCUGGUAAUUGGUUCCUACAGCCUAACGCUGCCUGGAAGACCCCACCGAGCAAAUACAUAGAACUGUUUGGUGUCUGGCACACAGCAGUGUAAAUAAAUGUCACCUACUAUGAUUUCUUUGGUUCCUGGGAUUGUACUGUGUCUGAUGCACACGUUUUAAAUGGGUUUGCCGAUAAACAGAUUGAGCUCUGCUCUGGGGUGCAUCUGUCAGAGCCAGA